CCCCUUUUCACACUCUCUUACCACUGAAUUCGACUCUUGUUCUCUCAAACCCAAUCCUCUGACCUCUGUCUCAGCCCCCUACUCCCCUUGAUACAAAACUGAAAACCCAGAGACCAGGCCUCAACGCAUUCCGAUCUCUGUCCAAAUUUCCGAUCUCGAACUCCCACCCUAGGCUCACCUCCCCAUCAUCUCCUCCUCACCGCGCUAACGGCUAUCUUCUCACGCGUAUCCGCUAAGGCCAAGCCGGCUUCUACCCAUCUUUGCAGAGAAAGCCAGCCAUAGUCGCCGAAGCACCACGGUCGAAGCUCCAAUCCCCGAUCGAUAUCAACGCUCCUCCGCCGCUACUCCCCGCGUUGUGGAGAAGGAAGAAGACGAAUUUCCCAAUGGGAUGUUCCUUAUAUAAAAACCCCUCACUCACGCUCUCCUCUAUGACUCUCUCUCUUUGAGUGUGCUAAAUGUGCUCGUUGGCUACCAGAUGAUAAUGGCUAUCCAAAAGCUAGCCAUAUAUCAGCUGAAAAGCUAUCUAACAAUAGCCGAGCCCUGCAGUUCAUUAAUUUGAUCCAAGAAGCCAAGAUACGAAGCAAAAAUCUUGUUAAGUUUGUGGAAUCUCAUGAUCAGCUUGAGUACCGGAUGGAGUGGGCUGGGUUUUUAAUUUCAAUUGCAAAAAUCUGCAGAUCUUGGUUGUUGCUAAGGUAGGAAGUGCUCAAUUUUCCAAAUAUGCAACCUAUUCUAUGUUUUUCAAUAAUUCCUACCUCCAGCUUAUGACUUUAUGUUUCUCUUAUUGGAUUCUUGUUCUUUGACCUAUCAUUUUGUUACAUACGUGGUCAAUGAAAAAGAUCACCGUCAGUUCUAACCCUUCUCCAGAAGAUUUGGUCAACAACCUUGGUACCAUUGCAAGGUCUGGCACCAAGAAAUUCAUGGAAGCCUUGGCUACUAGAUCUGAUGUUAGCAUGAUUGGUCAGUUUGGUGUUGGAUUCUACUUUGCAUAUCAUGUUGUUGAGAAGGAAGAGGAAGUUGAUGAAGAGAAGGAAGUGGGCAUGUUUCUGGCCUUGAUUUUUUUGACAUUUAUGUUUAGGCAGGGUUAGUAUGUUCAUGUUAAUGUUGGGCUAUGAAUACUGCUGAUGGAAUUUGUAUGUUUUGGAAUCAAUGGAAAGUUUUUGGAAUCAA